ensembl:lncRNA
CCCCAUCAACACCAAACACUUUGUCAUAGCUCUUCCACUUGUCCUGUAAAGCAUUUCUUGUCUUAUUCAAAGAAUCAGCAUCAUAUUCCAGCCAGGUCUUUAGCCUCUCUACAGGGCAGUGCCCUGACACACAAAAAACUCUAGAGCUGAGAGGGUUGAAAAUGAAGAAAAUCAUUAACGUGAGUUUAUCUGGUAAAUUGGCUUCAUGCAUUUCAGCCUGUAAAAUGACAGCAGUGCUGAACCAACACAUGAACAGAGUUGUCACAACCCAUGAUCCAGUUAAUUACUCCUACUGUUGUUGGGCUUAUUUUACUGUUUACUUUUAAGAAAUAUUUUGAAAAUCUUGCAUCCUAUUGUUGACUCUUUAUUCCUAUAAUAAUUUAAACAUUUAAUCAGUUAUCAUUAUUUAAAACAUCUAAUCUAUUACACCUCGAAUGGCAAAUUACCACUGAAGAGGUUACUUUGUUACUUGGCAAAUUAAGACUAAUUUCUGAGACAUAAGUUGCAGUACUUCAUUUGAGAAAGUGUUAAUAAAUCAACUAAAAUCCUUGAAAUAAAAACCAAACAACCAAACAACAUCAAACACCUUCCUGACAUGAUCAUUCCACAUAUACUUAUAACCCUUAUUGUCAUUUCUGAAGCCUUACGAGCAUGCUUCACAAUUCAGGAUGUUGACCCCUCUAAUAUUUGGCAAUUCAGAAUAGGUAAAUGCAUGUUGCAAUAGAAACCAGUUUAAAAAGAAAAGAAAUAUAAUAAUUACUAGGAGUUCUGUACCAGUGCUCUUUGCAAACAGUUGCAAAAAUGACUUCAGUAAAAACAGAAGCACUAUCUUGGUGGUUUUGAAGAGUCACAGGAUGGCAUGCAGCUUAACAGAACAGAUGAACAGCUUUGGGAGAUCAGUAUGUUUGAUAUAUUACUGGGAAAAAGAAAGCAAAGAAGGGUUCUACUCUAAUUAUGACACUUACCUUCAAGAGUACAAUGCAAACCAAUCAACAACACCAACAAAACAGUCAAGGUGAAAUACACUCCUUUCUGCAAGUAUAAAACCAAAACGGACCCAGUCAACUGGAUAACAAGCUAAUAUUCUGCAGUCACAUGAGCUUUAAGCCAGCAAGGUUAGUGAACAUGGACAUAAUCCCACGCACACGUCUGCUACCAUCUAAAACACCAAAAAUAAUUGCCUACUUAGGCUGGGUAUACAUAGGGCUCUUUUCAUUCAGCUGAAGGUGCUGGUACAAUAAAAAUAUAAAAUGACACAUUGGAAGGUGUAGUGUUAAGCCACAGACUGGCACAGAGUGUCAAUACUCACUCGCUGAAAGAUGAAAAACGAAAAGUUUUUGCUCCAGAAAGAACUCCAAGGAAUUUGCAACCCUCCUUCAGAUCUGUGACCUAGAGUCAAAGGCAUCCUUUCCUAUUCCUAAUCAGCUAGGGCACAAAAUUCUCACCCACUAAAAAAUUUCUCCAGAGGUUUCUGGCUGUCAGAGAGUCUGUUUUGUUGACUCUCGCACAUAGCACCUAUUGCCUUGCUAUUUAAACAAGAAUAGCCCUUGAACUGCCAUCAGGCAGCAAGCACUGCAGCAACGUACAUCUGGAUUUUAGGAGUUGAGUUACAGUUUUCUGUGUUCUGCGAAAGGGGUUUUAAAGACAAAACAAAACAGAACAGCACCAGCCAGGAGAAUUAACUCCAAACAUUUAAUUCUUACAGAAUGACUCUUAAGUAUGUUUACAGUCAUUCACAUCUAGAGUUUUUUCUCAUUCUCAUUUCCCGGAACCUUAUUUAAUCUGAAUUCCACGCAGAAAUUUUCAGUGGUGUAUGAAGAUGUAUGCGAACUACUCCAAAUCAUCCAGAUAAAACAAAACAGUAAAUUGAAUGGUAAAGAAACUAUAGCUGCCAAAUAAUAUCUGAAC